AUGAACGCUAGCUACAGGCUUAACACAUGCAAGUCGAGGGGCAGCAUUUUAGUUUGCUUGCAAACUAAAGAUGGCGACCGGCGCACGGGUGAGUAACACGUAUCCAACCUGCCGAUAACUCGGGGAUAGCCUUUCGAAAGAAAGAUUAAUAUCCGAUGGUAUAUUAAAACCGCAUGGUUUUACUAUUAAAGAAUUUCGGUUAUCGAUGGGGAUGCGUUCCAUUAGUUUGUUGGCGGGGUAACGGCCCACCAAGACUACGAUGGAUAGGGGUUCUGAGAGGAAGGUCCCCCACAUUGGAACUGAGACACGGUCCAAACUCCUACGGGAGGCAGCAGUGAGGAAUAUUGGUCAAUGGACGAGAGUCUGAACCAGCCAAGUAGCGUGAAGGAUGACUGCCCUAUGGGUUGUAAACUUCUUUUAUAUGGGAAUAAAGUAUUCCACGUGUGGGAUUUUGUAUGUACCAUAUGAAUAAGGAUCGGCUAACUCCGUGCCAGCAGCCGCGGUAAUACGGAGGAUCCGAGCGUUAUCCGGAUUUAUUGGGUUUAAAGGGAGCGUAGGUGGAUUGUUAAGUCAGUUGUGAAAGUUUGCGGCUCAACCGUAAAAUUGCAGUUGAAACUGGCAGUCUUGAGUACAGUAGAGGUGGGCGGAAUUCGUGGUGUAGCGGUGAAAUGCUUAGAUAUCACGAAGAACUCCGAUUGCGAAGGCAGCUCACUAGACUGCAACUGACACUGAUGCUCGAAAGUGUGGGUAUCAAACAGGAUUAGAUACCCUGGUAGUCCACACAGUAAACGAUGAAUACUCGCUGUUUGCGAUAUACAGUAAGCGGCCAAGCGAAAGCAUUAAGUAUUCCACCUGGGGAGUACGCCGGCAACGGUGAAACUCAAAGGAAUUGACGGGGGCCCGCACAAGCAGUGGAGUAUGUGGUUUAAUUCGAAGCAACGCGAAGAACCUUACCAAGGCUUGACAUAUACAGGAAUAUUUAAGAGAUUAAAUAGCUCUUCGGAGUCUGCAUACAGGUGGUGCAUGGUUGUCGUCAGCUCGUGCCGUGAGGUGUCGGCUUAAGUGCCAUAACGAGCGCAACCCUUAUCUUUAGUUACUAACAGGUCAUGCUGAGGACUCUAGAGAGACUGCCGUCGUAAGAUGUGAGGAAGGUGGGGAUGACGUCAAAUCAGCACGGCCCUUACGUCCGGGGCUACACACGUGUUACAAUGGGGGGUACAGAAGGCAGCUACCUGGUGACAGGAUGCUAAUCCCAAAAACCUCUCUCAGUUCGGAUCGAAGUCUGCAACCCGACUUCGUGAAGCUGGAUUCGCUAGUAAUCGCGCAUCAGCCAUGGCGCGGUGAAUACGUUCCCGGGCCUUGUACACACCGCCCGUCACACCAUGAGAGUCGGGAAUACCCGAAGCCUGUGAGCCAACAUAUUUAUAUGAGGCAGCAGUCGAAGGUAGAAUCGAUGAUUGGGGUG
rnacentral:rRNA from 1 species